UCUUCAACAACCCAUGUAAUACAUAGGGGAAAGAGAUACAUAGUUGGCUUACAAUCGCCACUUCACACAAUACAUGAAUAAAUCAUUACAUCAUCCAGAUACAAUCCGGGUCCGACUACGGAACCAAAAUAAAAGAAGACUACCCCAAAUGCUACACAGAUCCCUGAUCGACCCCAACUGGGCUCCGCUACUGAUCAACUGGAAACGAAACAACAUAAAGGACAAAAUCUUCAUCGAGCUACUCCUUGAGCUGGGUUGCGUCAUCUGCACGGUUCAACGGCACCUGCAAGCUGGUUUUGGAAGUAUCUGUGAGUCACAGGGACUCAGCAAUCUCACACCCUCGCGAUCAAGACUAUUUAAGCUUAUAGGUAAGGUAAGGUAUGAUGUGGAGCUGCAGCAAGCGACUAGCAUAUUUGGUGGCUAACAUACGCAAAAGAGAGCGAGAAGAGAAGGUAAAGCACGAUCGAGAAACUAUGAUUAAGAAGUGAUCCUAGAACAACCUACGUCAAGCAUUACUCCAACACCAUGUUCACUUCCCAGACUCCGCCGAGAAGAUACCAUCACGGUAACACACGCGGUUGGUGUAUUUAAUUUAAGUUAAGUUUCAUGUUAUCUACAACCGGACAUUAACAAAUUCCCAUCUGCCCAUAACCGUGGGCACGGCUUUCGAAAGUUCAAAUCCCUGCAGGGGAGUCCCAACUUAGCCCAUCACAAGCUCUCACGGUCAACGAAGGAUAUUCCUUCUCCCAAGACAUUCCGAUCAGACUCGGCAUCCAGGUUAUAAGACAUUUCGACAAUGGUAAAACAAGUCCAGCAACACCGCCCGAAUGUGCCAACAAAUCCCGAUAGGAGCUGCACAUAUCUGGUUCUCAGGGCACACUCAGAUGAGCUCUCCAUACAACUAAAACCAAACCUCGAGUUUCCCCGAGGGGGCGCUGCACAGGGCUCUAGUUUGGACCAACACUCAGAGUAGCACUGGCCCGGGGGGUUUAAAUAAAGAGGACCCUUGGGCUCCGGAAACCCAAGAGAAAAAGAGGCUAGGUGGCAAAUGGUGAAACCAAGGUUGGGCAUUGCUGGAGGAGUAUUAUUCAAGGCGAACUGUCAAGGGGUUCCCAUUAUAACCCAACCACGUAAGGAACGCAAAAUCCGGGAACAUAACACCGAUAUGAUGGAAACUAGGGCGGCAAGAGUGGAACAAAACACCAGGAAUAAGGCCGAGCCUUCCACCCUUUACCAAAUAUAUAGAUGCAUUAAUUAAAUAAGAGAUAUUGUGAUAUCCCAACAAAAUAUCCAUGUUCCAAACAUGGAACAAGCUCCAAUCUUCACCAGCAACUAACAACGCUAUAAGAGGGGCUGAGCAAAGCGGUAACAUAGCCAAACAAUGGUUUGCUAGGACAAGGUGGGUUAGAGGAUUGGUUCAACAAUAUGGGAGGCAUUAUAAGCAAGUGGUAGGUAUCGCAGCAUAGGCAUAGCAAAAGAGCGAGCAACUAGCAAGCAAAGAUCGAAGUGAUUUCGAGGGUAUGGUCAUCUUGCCUGAAAUCCCGCAAGGAAGAAGAACGAGUCCAUGAAGAAGACAAACGGACGUAGAUGAAUGGAUCCUCACAACUCCGGAACGAAACCGAAGCAAAGGCGAGAAGUAACCCGGAAAGAAACAAACAACAAAGUAAACAACCAUCACAUAAUCAUGGCAUGAUGCACAAUUGAGUAUGAUGCAUGUCCGGUUUAAUGAAGCAUGGCAUGGCAAAGUGCACAAGCAAUCGUACAAAUUAAGUGGAGCUCAAUAUGCAUCCCCAUUGCAUAUUGACGAAACACCACGUUCAAGUUAUUUAGUUCGAUCUCGUUUAUGUACCCAACAAUAUUAAAUGUUAUUAACCAUGGCAAGAGGGUGAAGCAAAAGUAAACUAAACCUUUAGGCAUGUUUAAAUGAGGCCAGAAAUAACAAACAACAAUUCCGGUAACACCCCAUAUGCAUAUUAUAAGGUUUGGUACUGUUCUGCCCUAAACACAAUUUUAGAGUUAUUAAUCAUGCUAGAUGAGUGCAUCAUGUUAAACUAGGCAUUUUUCCACCCCAUUUACAUAUAAAGUUUAUUAAAUUCCGAGUUACGGUUAUUUAGUUAUGAAAUAAAUCAUUUUAGCAUGGCAUAGGAGCAAAUUUAACCAAACAACAUUUUAAACAUUUUAAACAUGGAUGAAAGUUGCAAAUAAUUAACCUACACAUAAUUCUAAGCAUUUUUCAUAUAUAAUUCAUUUUAAUCCGAUGCACCAAUUGAGAGUUAUUAUAUGCAUGUUGUCUAGGGGGUUUCCUGCAAAACUGCUGUGUCUGGAAAAUUAGCUAAAACGUUCUGCAAAAAAAAACACCUCUCGGGCCGAAUCUGGUGCACUGCUGGGCUGAAUAGAGAGGAAGGACUAGAGCUAUGCUCACAUUGGGCCACUGGGCCAGAAGCGGCGAAGCGGUGACGGGCCAAGAGGAGGCACCGCUGGGCCUUGGCGGCAGAGGGAGCUGGGCCGCCGCGUUGGACCUCAUAGGCAGAGCGAAGCGGAGGCGGCGCGAUCGGGCACGUCGUCUCUGAUCGACAGGAAGCAGGUUCAGUGCAGGGGCGAGGCAGGGGAAUUGGCCGGCGACGCAGGUGGGCUCCGACGAGGUCGCCGGUGGCCGGGGACGAGGCCUAGCUGCCGGGAUCCGGCUGGAACAAGCAAGUGCGGUGGAGUACCAGUCGGAUCUGGUGGUGGAAGCCGAUAGUGGCUGGCGCGGCCGCAUGCGAGGAGGUCAACGCAAGGCCGGCGGUGAUGAGGGACUUGGCAUGGGGCGACGGCUUGGCGCGCAGAGGAGGCCAGUGGGAGGAAGAGCAGCUCGGGCACGCUCGGGGUUGAGCUCGUGCGUGAAGUCCUCGGCCACGGGAAGCUGGGUAUGUCACAGGCUCGGGGAGGCAUCAGGCGAUCUCCAUCUCGUUGCAGGGGAUGUAGGGGUGGCAGGGACUAGGCGACCUUGAUGCAGGGGAGAGGUGGAGGCGUGGAUUCAGUGAGGCGGCGGAGUUCCUUUGGUGGCCAUGGCGCCUGGGUGCUCCCUAUUGCAGCGGUACGAGAGAAAGAGAGAGAUGAGAGAGGGGAAAACAGGAGGAGCAAGGGAAGAAUGAAGCGGAGAGGAAAGGAGGCGCUCAUCUCUUCCAUGGAGCUCGGCUCGGGGACGAGGCCCUCGGCUAGCUCGGGCGAUGGGUGAUGCGGAGGCAUUCGUCUGCAGGGUGGAUCUGGUUGGUGGAGGUUUAGAUCGAGAGAGAUGCAGGGAUUGGUUCGGCGUGGAAUCCGAGGAAGUGAGUGGCGGCGGUGGGAUGGAUCCCUAGGAAUUAGGGAUUUGGUCUAGUUUAGGCUAUUAUAUAUAGUAAGUGGGUUUGGUUAAUGGCUAUAUCGUCCCUCCGAUCGCAAUCGGAUGAUCGCGAAUAAAAUAGCUAGGGGUUCCAAAUAAGAAAACGGUGACGUUUUGUAGAUGUUUGGGGAUGAUCCGGACACAACGGUAACGACUGUCCGGGUCAGGUCCGGGACAACUUUCGGGCGAGCGCGCGAGGAGGGCCGUGGGCUGACGAGAGGUUAGGUUGGGCCUGGCAGUAGGUAGUGGGCUGUAUAGACGGUCUCAAGCUGAGAGAUGAUGAGAGAGGGAGGCCCGGUGACUGUUUUCGGAGACCGAAAACGUCCGACGUUAGACCGGCUAUACUGCCGCUAUAGUUAUCCGUUGGGGCGUCAAAUGGACUCCGAACGCAAUGAAACUUGGCAGGCGGUCUACCUACACUAUAACAAGACCACACGUGAACUCUCAUCCCAUUCCGAGAACAGUUUCCGGCCAAUUAUAAAAUAAUAUCUCAGACGUGCCGCGGGCGCGUGCAAGUGUGUCUGGGCUCAGAACGGACAAUGGACGGAACUGGGGAACCCGGGCGGAUGCAAGAUUGAAAAUAGAAGAUGCAAUGCACAUGAUGACAUGAUGAAAUGCAACAUGCAAGCACAUGACAUGGCAAUGUCGGCGAAUAACAGGAAGACACCUGGCACAUCGGUCUCGGGGCAUCACAACACUCCACCACUACAAGAGGAUCUCGUCUCGAGAUCUAGAAUGGCACCGGAGGGAAACGGAAGAGAAAGAGAAGAGGUAAAGCUUAGUUGCUCCUUUGACAAACGAGUGAAACCAAAGAACCUUGCAAAGGUUAAGCCAUUUCGAGAAAAGAAUACAACAGAGAUGAACGAAGUAGAAAGCACUCCGUUAGGAAAGAGGAACGAGGAAGAACAAGGUUGAAAGCACACCGGUAGGGAAGAGUAAUAAGGAAGAACAAAUUCGGGCAGCACUGCAAAUGAAAAGAAAUACAAGGCUUGAUAAGGUGAAAAGAACUUGAGCAAAAAGGACAGAACACUCCGGUUAAAUGGAUAAGGAAAAGAAAGAAGCAUGAUCUUGACAAAACAAAAUGAUGGGUUGAAAAGAGCAACAUCGCAAUGCCUCCGGAACAAAAGAAUAGAAGAUAGAUAAUUGAAAUAGGAGAAUGGAGAAGAAAAUGUCAACUUCUGUCACAAAAGAGCUUGAAAAGGCAUCUUUAGGAGAAGGGUCGAACGGAAUUGUUGUCAAAACCAACAACGAAAAGUAUAAGCUUGUUGUGUGCUUAUGGAAAACAUCUCAUAACUAUGAGGUUAAAUUCCGCCACUAACGUAAACAAUGGAUUUUGAGUUGAUAUGAAUAAGGAGGAGAGAAACUAUUUCACCGCGAGGAUAGAAGAACUUGGGUCAUUUAUAAGCACCAUAAUAGCCACAAUCCUUAGAGAAGACUUUAGGUGAAAUAUAACCCAAGGUAACUCCAAUGACGAGAUUGGUGGAUUUAAAAUACCUCACCUUGAUAACUUGUGAAACACAAAGCACGAAGGGAAAUUAUCAAGAAUGACAUAACACCACCUCAAAAGAUAUGCGUGAAAGAAUUGCACUCCGGAUUGCAAGAUGAAGAAAACUUGAGCUCCUCUGAAAAAAUCUUGAUGAACACUUCGAGAAGGAAUUAAAUCAUUGGUGAACCAUCAUGUACAACCUUCAUGAAGAACUCCACUAGUAAAAGAAAUGAUCAACCGAAAUGGAGGAUGAAAAGAAUAAGGUUGAAUCCUUGCAAUGAUUUAAAAGAAUCUCCGUGGUGAUGUAAUUGCGAGAGCUAGGAACUCCGGGAGGAGAAAAGAUAAAACAUCUCGAACCAAGAAUGUGAUAUGAUGCACCUCCGAAAUAAGAAAUCGAAUCACUUGGAAGAAACAAGAAUAAGAAUUACAUUAUGCUUAUCCUUCACUAAUUCAAAUUGAUGACAAGCAAUGGAAUUGGCAUACUACUUAUUCUCAUAGAAAGGAUUAAGAGAGAUAUAACAUAAACUUGGGAAGGUCUUCAAUGAACCGCCGGUAGGAUUGAAACAAUGAAUGAAUUAACAUGAUAAACAAAGGAAGAGGAACUCUUGAACGAACCACCGUAAGAAUUGAAAAGGAACGAAUAAAACAUGAAGAAAACACCGGGAAGGAUUAGCAAAUGAACGAAGAUGUUUGAGAGAAAUUAGAUCCAAGUGAAGCGAAUAGAUCACAGACCGAUUAAAGAUCACUUGAACGAUGCACCGGUAAGAUCGGAGAAUGAUAAUUGAAAGCUAAGAAUGAAUAAACCUGAAAUGAUGGACUCCAGAUAAUCAAACUGAGAAGACUCUUGAAUAGCUCCUGAUAGGUGAAAAGAAAUCUCACAACCGAAGAGAAUUAUGAGAGGAUGGCAACAAGCUAGAGCCAUGAAUCUUCAAGAGAACGAUCAAGAUUUAGAGGAAAACACUUGUUCGGUCUUCAAAAUCCGAGAAUGACGACGAGGAACACCACCAUGAAUUGUUGAGACACUCCGGAAGAAUCAAAAGCGAAGAGGUUGAGCCAAUGAUGAAAAGAAUGUGGACGAUCUUGGAGAAAAACAUAAGACUGAUGAUAAUUCAUUCUUACAUCAAACUUCGAAAAGAAUUUAGGAUAGCUCCGGGAAAAUAAGAAGAGUCAGGUACGAUCCUGGGAAAAGACCUUUGGGUUAGGGCCCACUCAAAAGAAAACACCGUUGGAAUGAUUAAAAAGAGAGGUUGCACCGAUUGAAUUAAAAGGCUUGAAUGAGAUAACAUCCUCAAAAUAGCUUGAACGGAUUAAGAGUGGAAACACGAAUCUUCUAAGAUAUAUUUAGCACUCCGGAGCAAAAGAAUAGCGAGAGGUGAACGAUUAUGAGGUGCACUGGCAUAAGAAAAGCAUUGGACAAAAAAGAAAAGACAAUGCUCAAUACCAAAGUUUGAAUUGAAUCCACCGUAGAUGGAAAAUAAGUGACGAGAGACGAACUAGAAGCUUCAUUAGCAUCUUCCUGAGAAAUAAUCGGAUAAGACAUUGGCAGAAAAUAAUCGAAAGACUUCACAACAAUAAAAGGAUACUUGAAUAAGAAAUCUGGUUCCUUGAAGAAAAGGGUGGGAGGGAGGGAAAACAAAGGCAAUUUGGGACGAAUGAAAUGAACACCAUUGAAAAGAACUGAGAUUGGAUCUUGCAAAUGUUGAAGUGAUUGGAUCCACUUGAAGAGAAACACGCCGGUAGAGAAGAAAUUUAGAUGACAAUCUCGAUGAUCAAGAAGGAUUUGUAUUCACAGAGAAAUAUGAAAACACCGCUUGGAAAAGGUAUGGAAUCAACAUUCGACUUCGAAGCAACUCGAAUACCACAACUCAAAACAAACAAAGGAUUGGCUUGCAGAAUAAGCCGGAACAAACAUAUGAUAGAGAUUUCGUCCGAAGUUUUCGUGGUGGGGCCUACACGGGCUCGAUCAUACAGCACCAUCAUGUACAAGGCAGUGCACAUGACAUACGAAGCGUCCCCGAGUCGGCAUAGCCAAGGACUCUUUAAGACACAAUGAGACCAUUGUAAAACCAAGCGUGGAUAGGCGAACUACUAGACGUCGAACCCCAAUUUCAUAUCAUACAUCUGUCAGAAAGAUAUCCUAAGAGCUACUUGAAUUCCCACUUAUAAACUCCCGAAAUUUUCCUGUUAUGCAAUAAGAUCUUGGGGAUACAGGGGAAGCAUAAUAUCUCACCCAAAACUAGCAAAUCCUACAUCCAGCUGUAUCCAUCCUUCAACACAUAACCAAGAAACCUUCGGAAAUCGUCUACCUCAACCUUCGAAAAGCAUCCGUUAUACGAGUUAUGGCAAUACUCCCGAACUCCCGCCCCAGUACUGGGUAGCGUCGAGGUUAUCUCACCAACAACUGCAUAAAAGAGAUUUUCGAUGUCGGCGAAACUAAACUCAGGUAUUCCAGAACUGCAACGAUAAAAUUGUGACGACAACACCUCGGAGCUCAACUCCCCGGGACACUUCCACAACCCCUAAAUGACAGGAGGCACCAAGAACAAUGUUUUUGUCACAAAACCAUCGGAACGAUUCCAAGAUACCCGCAUGAUCCUAAUUUUUUUUAGUGAAAUUUGAGAAGAGAAGAGUCAAAACUCUACGUCAGGAUACCUCACCAGAGCGACGAAGGGACUGAGGAGUAAAAGAAUUCCUAACUCUCUGAUAUAUAUAAUCCUAAAUGACUCAAAACAUUUUUCUAUACUCAACAACGCCAACGAUUCGAUCAAGCAUGGGGCUCCUAAGGUCGGGGAAGGCUCUGAUUACCAACUUGUAACAUCCUCGAUGCGGCUAUAUCUCCCACGUGUCGAAGCAUGACUUAGAGGCAUAACCGCAUUGAAAGCAAUGUCGCAAGUGAGGUAAUCUUCAACAACCCAUGUAAUACAUAAGGGAAAGAGAUACAUAGUUGGCUUACAAUCUCCACUUCACACAAUACAUGAAUAAAGCAUUAGAUCAUCCAGAUACAAUCAAGGUCCGACUACAAAACCAAAAUAAAAGAAGACUACCCCAAAUGCUACACAGAUCCCCGAUCGACCGCAACUAGGCUCCGCUACUGAUCAACUGGAAACGGAACAACAUAAAGGACAAAAUCUUCAUCGAGCUCCUCCUUGAGCUGGGUUGCGUCAUCUGCACGGUUCAAGGGCACCUGCAAGCUGGUUUUGGAAGUAUCUGUGAGUCACAUGGACUCAGCAAUCUCACACCCUCGCGAUCAAGACUAUUUAAUCUUAUAGGUAAGGUAAGGUAUGAUGUGGAGCUGCAGCAAGCGACUACCAUAUUUGGUGGCUAACAUACGCAAAAGAGAGCGAGAAGAGAAGGCAAAGCACGAUCGAGAAACUAUGAUUAAGAAGUGAUCCUAGAACAACCUACGUCAAACAUUACUCCAACACCGUGUUCACUUCCCGAACUCCGCCGAGAAGAGACCAUCACGGUAACACACGCGGUUGGUGUAUUUUAAUUAAGUUAAGUUUCAUGUUAUCUACAACCGGACAUUAACAAAUUCCCAUCUGCCCAUAACCGCGGGCACGGCUUUUGAAAGUUCAAAUCCCUGCAGGGGUGUCCCAACUUAGCCCAUCACAAGCUCUCACGGUCAAUGAAGGAUAUUCCUUCUCCCAAGACAUUCCAAUAAGACUCGACAUCCAGGUUACAAGACAUUUCGACAAUGGUAAAACAAGUCCAGCAACACCGCCUGAAUCUGCCGACAAAUCCCGAUAGGAGCUGCACAUAUCUCGUUCUCAGGGCACACUCAGAUGAGCUCUCCACACAACUAAAACCAAACCUCGAGUUUCCCUGAGGGGGCGCUGCACAGGGCUCUAGUUUGGACCAACACUCAGAGGAGCACUGGCCCGGAGGGGGGGGGGGGGUUAAAUAAAGAUGACCCUUGGGCUCCGGAAACCCAAGGGAAAAAGAGGCUAGGUGGCAAAUGGUGAAACCAAGGUUGGGCAUUGCUGGAGGAGUUUUAUUCAAGGCGAACUGUCAAGGGGUUCCCAAUAUAACCCAACCGCGUAAGGAACGCAAAAUCCGGGAACAUAACACUGAUAUGACGGAAACUAGGGCGGCAAGAGUGGAACAAAACACUAGGCAUAAGGCCGAGCCUUCCACCCUUUACCAAAUAUAUAGAUGCAUUAAUUAAAUAAGAUAUAUUGUGAUAUCCCAACAAAAUAUCCAUGUUCCAAACAUGGAACAAGCUCCAAUCUUCACCUGCAACUAACAAUGCUAUAAGAGUGGCUGAGCAAAGCAGUAACAUAACCAAACAACGGUUUGCUAGGACAAGGUGGGUUAGAGGCUUGGUUCAACAAUAUGGGAGGCAUGAUAAGCAAGUGGUAGGUAUCGCAGCAUAGGCAUAGCAAAAGAGCGAGCAACUAGCAAGCAAAGAUAUAAGUGAUUUCGAGGGUAUGGUCAUCUUGCCUGAAAUCCCGCAAGGAAGAAGAACGAGUCCAUGAAGAAGACAAACAGACGUAGAUGAACGGAUCCUCACAACUCCGGAACGAAACCGAAGCUAAUGCGAGAAGUAACCCGGAAAGAAACAAACAACAAAGUAAACAACCAUCACAUAAUCAUGUCAUGAUGCACAAUCGAGUAUGAUGCAUGUCCGGUUUAAUGAAGCAUGGCAUGGCAAAGUGCACAAGCAAUCCUACAAAUUAAGUGGAGCUCAAUAUGCAUCCCCAUUGCAUAUUAACGAAACACCAUGUUCAAGUUAUUUAGUUCGAUCUUGUUUAUGUACCCAACAAUAUUAAAUGUUGUUAACCAUGGCAAGAGGGUGAAGCAAAAGUAAACUAAACCUUUAGGCACGUUUAAAUGAGGACGGAAAUAACAAACAACAAUUCCGGUAAAACCCCAUAUGCACAUUAUAAGGUUUGGUACUGUUCUGCCUUAAACACAAUUUUAGAUUUAUUAAUCAUGCUAGAUGAGUGCAUCAUGUUAAACUAGGCAUUUUCCACCCCAUUUACAUAUGAAGUUUAUUAAAUUCCGAGUUACGUUAUUUAGUUAUGAAAUAAAUCAUUUUAGCAUGGCAUAGGAGCAAAUUUAACCAAACAACAUUUUAAACAUUUUAAACAUGGACGAAAGUUGCAAAUAAUCAACCUACACAUAAUUCUAAGCAUUUUUCAUAUAUAAUUCAUUUUAAUCCGAUGCACCAAUUGAGAGUUAUUAUAUGCAUGUUGUCUAGGGGGUUUCCUG
rnacentral:lncRNA from 1 species